UACGUAGGUGACAAGCGUUGUCCGGAUUUACUGGGCGUAAAGAGCGCGCAGGCGGUCGAUCAAGUCGAGUGUGAAAGCCCCCGGCUCAACUGGGGAGGGUCAUUCGAUACUGAUCGACUCGAAGGCAGGAGAGGGUAGUGGAAUUCCCGGUGUAGUGGUGAAAUGCGUAGAUAUCAGGAGGAACACCAGUGGCGAAGGCGACUACCUGGCCUGUUCUUGACGCUGAGGCGCGAAAGCUAGGGGAGCAAACAGG
rnacentral:rRNA from 1 species